CUGUCAUCUUCUCCAAGCCUUGUGUGGGCAUCUAUGUUGUCACCUGACCUCUCCCCAAUCCUGGUCUUGUAGGAAGCCCUGGUCAGUUUCAGGACACCACACAGGAGUGGGAUCCUGUGUUUGCUGGGCACUGUUCCACCAAUCACAUCAAAGGUGGGAGGAGCUAUCCAGCCUCCAGUUCAGGACAACCUUGAGUCAAAUAAGUAUAACAGCCUCCUAGACCUGGCAAAGAGCACUGCUUAGGGCCCAUUGUCACCAUGAGGCUUAUCUCUUGAGGCCAAGUCCCCUUUGGGAAGUUUGAGUAGGCCUAGAAAGGCCUGGUCCAUCAAGGGUCCUGCUUGGGCUGCGCCUGUAAGGCCUGGUCUGUCCUUUCCCUGCUCUGCAGAAAUGACAGCGCAGGGAACAGGCUGGGAUGACUCUGAACCCCUUUUAGGAAGUCAGACAGGAACCACCUACACAAAGUUUGCACAGCUUUUCUCUUGAGUCGGCAGCCUGUGACCAGGAAGAGCAUGGCACCUAUCCCUCACAGCCCCUAGUGCUGGGCUCCUACCCAGGAUCCUGUUCAUAUAGCACCUUGCAAUUCCAGGCUUUACUCUACUAGGGACCCACUCCCAUAGAGCCGCAUUCCCACUGGACCUUGUUCCCAUGGGGCUCUACUCCUUAUAGGGUCCUGAUCUUAGAGAAUGAGACUCCCAAAGGUCCCAUACCAACUGUGCCUGCACUCCUAAGAGUCCCACUCCUACACUGGCCUUCCCCCAGCUCCUCCCCUCUGCAUGAAAGGUCACUUUGAAACACCCCCAUAUUUCUUACCUGGCCCUGAUGUUCCUGAGGCCCCUCUCUCUCCCUCAUGGGUAAGAAGCUGUGCGGACAAGGGAUAGUAGUGAUCCCUGCCUAGAACAGCUUGUUCUUUGCAUGAAAGACAAAGAAGGUGGACGUGGGCAGAUUUCUGACCCACUUGUGGGUCAUUUAGAACAGGUAUUUGGAGUCACAAGAUGGUACCAGCUGUACCCAUAAGGCUUUCUCUUCCUUGGCUGGGAUCCAAGAGACCCUGGCAGGUUGUUUAUGGUCUAAGGAGGAUCAGCCCUUCCCUCCUUCCACACCCACAUGUUCUGCUGCACUCCUCAGGGAGGUAUGUUGGCCAGGUGGAUUGUGAAGAAACAGGUUUCUGAACAAGCUUCAACAGUAGCCACUACUCAGUCAGGCUUUGUCCCUCUGGAGCCCCAAUGGCUGCUGGGAUGGGUCCUUGUUGGGCUCUGUGGCUGAUGUUCACCCUACCCCAAAUCCCGGAGGGUCAGACUCCAACCAUGCCUCGAGGCUUUCCUCAGAUGACGAGCUUCCAAAGCAACCAGGUACAGAGCUUUCAAAGGAGAAGAAACAGGGUACAGCUGGCUACAGUCUGGCUUGUGGAGGGCGGGUGUAUGCAGGCCUGUGGGCAUUACACAGGGAGGCCGUGGCAGAACCUGAACCCAGAGUCCCUGAGUAGUCCAUGAGUCCAGCAGAAAAGGCCCUAGAAGUGCCUGCCUGUACCUCCUGUGUUUACAGUAGCUGCUCCCUCUAUGAACAGAGGCAAUCAGAAGCUUGGGAAGGUCACUUGACCAAGGCCACCCUCUACUGACCAGAUUAAAGGCAAAUUCAGGGUUCUGCCAGCAUCACUGAUGUAGACCUGGCCUGCAGCUGCCUACUGAGGAGGGGUCCUAGCUGGCUGUGGGCUGCCUGGGGUAGGGUGGGAAGAGGCUGGCUGUGCCUAUCACCAGCCAUGCAGUUUCAGGGGGAGUGGUUUGUUCUCGGUUUGGCGGGCAACUCCUACAAGAGAGAGGACCGGGCCUUGCUGAAUCCCUUCAUCACACUGUUCGAGCUAAAAAACAACAAUCAGUUUAAGGUGACCAACUCCAUGACUCGGUGAGUGGGGUGUCUCUGCUGUCCCAGCAGCAAAGGACCAGGGCUGCUUGAGCUUUGCAUGGGCCAGCAACACUGUGGAUUGAGGAACCAUAUCUAGAGACCAUGUCUAGCACAGCCUGCUUAUUGUCCAUUGCCAAAGCCAACUAGUUAAUAUGACACCCAACCCAGGGAGGGUAUGGUGACUCGCCCUGGAGGCAGAAAACCAAUGGGUUUUAGGUUCUCUUGUGUAGUCAGGGAUCCCUUUCUCAGGCCCUGUCUUGGUUCUGUGUUACCUUGGUCUCCUGGGCAAGUUCUUGUUUUCUCAGAAACACUUUUUUUCUUUAACAUAGCAAGUCCCUGUAGAUUUGAGUACCUGUGCUGGGGUGAGCAGGAGUCAUUCUUAUGGCACUGGGUCAGGCCCCUAGGAAGGGCACAGAGUAGCUUAAAGGACCCUAGAGCUGAAGCCUGGGAAACAGGAGAGGGAUCCAGUUCUCUGCAUUCUUCUGGGAUGAGUCUCCUCCAAAUGAAGAACUGAACUUUUAUUAUGGGUCCACCAGGGUGGGUCUGGAUGGCUUCCUUAGCCUUCUGCCCCAAACCAGCCCCUGCCUGUCCUUCCCACAGGGGCAAGCACUGCAACACUUGGUCCUAUACCCUGAUCCCAACAACCAAGCCUGGGAAGUUCAUCAUAGGCAAUAGAGGUAGAAACUGGAGGCUUCCUCAUAAGACAAUAGACAGGUUCAUCUGUCUGACAAGAACAAAAAACCUCACAAAGAAUAACUUCGUCUUCCCUGAUGUAACUGACUGGUUACCUGAUCCAAAACUCUGCUGAAGAAUGACACGGUUCCUGCCAGUAGAGCCUCAUGCUGCCUCUGCUUUCAACACAAAUAAACUCACUGCCUAUGACU